UCUCGUUUUUUUCUGCUUUAAUAAAUUAUUAGGAGUGCAUGUUGCUGUCAUUAAAGAUGAGGUAAACCAGGCAGGUUACACAGUAAUGUCCUGAAUUCUUCCCUUAGAAACUGUAUGGCCUGGUGUGUCUAGAAGAUACCCAGGUUGCUCAUACUACAGGGUCUCUUUGUCAUUGGCUACUUCCUGCAGAGCACACUUUGGCUACUUCCUGCAGAGCACCAUUGUACACCUUUCAGCAUCUGUGGGGGCUGCUGAAUGAGACCAGCUCCCAGGACUCCUUGAUAGGCCAUGUGAGACACCGUCACAAGAAUGAACUCCAUCUCAUCACCUUCCCAGUGUUCCUACAGCUAUCCAGCUACAAGUAGACUAUGACAGGAACCAACACACCCUUUUAAGGUCGGAGACAGAGUAGUGGUGAAGAUCCUCCCCCGCAGCAAGAGCCCAGGAGACUUCACCUAUGGCCCAGAGGCGGAAGUCGUUGCUGUAACCCGAACCGCAGUCCUGACAGAAGAGAGUCCCACCUGGAUCCAUGCUUCCUGAGUAAAGAAAAUUCCUAGACCAGACCUAGAGGAGGAAACAGGUGAUUCCAGUGAGGUACGAACAGGGGCGGACAGCCCUGACCUCCCACCUAGCGAAGACAGAAGACCAGAGGAGGAUGAAGAAAAUGCCCCCUAUCUUUACCCUGGGGACUAUCUUGAUAGCCCUACUGGCCCAUUUUCCCCUCUCAAUGACUGAGGUUGAUAUAACUCAGAAUAAGGGAAACUGACACUAUGGUAUAACUCUUCCACCACAUACACCGCAACCUACAUACUAGAUUAUUUCCAAUUCCCCCAACUAGCUGCUGUCCAAAAGUCUGUUGACUACCAGAUCCGCGCUGACACCACAGACAACCUAAGCCCCGAGGUACCUUAUAUUUGCGUUACAGGCCAUAACUGGGGAAAUGAUUGCAGCUCAUGGUCCGCGGCUGCCUGGAACACAGGUACCCCAUGGGGCUAUAAGCCCGCUGAAGCCUUAGAUGAAAAGGAUAAACACGGAACAUCAUUAACUCAACGAUUAACCCUUCUUAAAAUGCCCAACAAUUACUGCAACUCCCGCUCAGGCUAAAAAUUGCGCCAUUGGCGUGCAGAAAGACGUAAGCUUUGCAAGAAUCAUAUAGUAUAACAAUAAUGAUUCUAAGAGGGGAAUGAAAGGGUUAAAGCUCGUCUCUGCUUCACAUGUCAUAGAAUUGUUUGUGUUACAGAACUGUUUGUUCCAGCACAUUUUUUGCUACUGUCCUUGUCUGUUAUCUUUUUAUACCGUGUGAAUAACUUUUUCUAUUUGGGUACAAACUUGCCCAUAUAUGUACAUCCUUCCACUGCGGCAGUUCCUAGCCAAUCAUGUUAUGUUAGCCCCCUUUGUGUUCUGUCCAAUUAGUUAUUGACUUGGGAUAUACACGCCCUAAAUCCUUUCUUUUAUAUACUUUUGUUAAACAAACAAUAAACAGUGUGAAUCUUUA